rnacentral:rRNA from 1 species
GAUGAACGCUGGCGGCGUGCCUAACACAUGCAAGUCGAGCGGCAGCGAGGGGUGCUUGCACCCUGUCGGCGAGCGGCGGACGGCUGAGUAACGCGUGGGAACGUGCCCCAAAGUGAGGAAUAACUGCCCGAAAGGGUAGCUAAUACCGCAUAUUAUCUUCGGAUCAAAGGAUUUAUCCGCUUUGGGAGCGGCUCGCGUCGGAUUAGGUAGUUGGUGAGGUAAUGGCUCACCAAGCCGACGAUCCGUAGCUGGUCUGAGAGGAUGACCAGCCAGACUGGAACUGAGACACGGUCCAGACCCCUACGGGAGGCAGCAGUGAGGAAUCUUCCACAAUGGGCGAAAGCCUGAUGGAGCAACGCCGCGUGCAGGACGAAGGCCUUCGGGUUGUAAACUGCUUUUAUAAGUGAGGAAUAUGACGGUAACUUAUGAAUAAGGAUCGGCUAACUACGUG